UCCCUGGUGGCUCAGUGGUGGAGAGUCUGCCUGCCAAUGCAGGGGACACGGGUUCGAUCCCUGCUCUGGGAA
rfam:TPA: Bos taurus chromosome 24, whole genome shotgun sequence.